GCUUUAAUGGUCCAGUGGUUAAGACGCUGAGUUGUGGCCUCAGAGACCAGGUUCGAAUCCUGGUCAUGGCA
rnacentral:tRNA from 1 species